rnacentral:rRNA from 1 species
CCCUUAGAUGUUCUGGGCCGCACGCGCGCUACACUGAUGCGUUCAACAAGUUUCCUUGGCCGAGAGGCCUGGGCAAUCUUCUUAAUAUGUAUCGUGAUAGGGAUAGAUUAUUGCAAUUAUUAAUCUUGAACGAGGAAUUCCUAGUAAACGCAGAUCAUCAAUCUGCAUUGAUUACGUCCCUGCCCUUUGUACACACCGCCCGUCGCACCUACCGAUUGGAUGUUCCGGUGAAGCCUCGGGAUGAGGACUGGUGCCUUUAUUGGCAUGAGUUGUUCAGAACUUGUCCAAACCUUAUCAUCUAGAGGAAGGUGAAGUCGUAACA